UACGUAGGGCGCAAGCGUUGUCCGGAAUUAUUGGGCGUAAAGAGCUCGUAGGCGGCUUGUCGCGUCGGUUGUGAAAGCCCGGGGCUUAACCCCGGGUCUGCAGUCGAUACGGGCAGGCUAGAGUUCGGUAGGGGAGAUCGGAAUUCCUGGUGUAGCGGUGAAAUGCGCAGAUAUCAGGAGGAACACCGGUGGCGAAGGCGGCCCCCUGGACCGGUACUGACGCUGAGGCGCGAAAGCGUGGGUAGCAAACGGG
rnacentral:rRNA from 1 species